UCCACAAUUAAAAUAAUACUGCAAACAGUAAAGCAAACAAAAUAUUUGUUUGGGAGUUACAUUUCUGGCUGUUCGUCUUUUCUCCUUGUGUCUUCAUCUAAAUCUUUUGUUUCUGUCCAUAUUCCUCGUCGCUGGUUUUGGUUUGCUGAAUAUUUUCAGUUUCUCC